CAUGCAGUCGAGCGGAUGAAAGGAGCUUGCUCCUGGAUUCAGCGGCGGACGGGUGAGUAAUGCCUAGGAAUCUGCCUGGUAGUGGGGGACAACGUUUCGAAAGGAACGCUAAUACCGCAUACGUCCUACGGGAGAAAGCAGGGGACCUUCGGGCCUUGCGCUAUCAGAUGAGCCUAGGUCGGAUUAGCUAGUUGGUGAGGUAAUGGCUCACCAAGGCGACGAUCCGUAACUGGUCUGAGAGGAUGAUCAGUCACACUGGAACUGAGACACGGUCCAGACUCCUACGGGAGGCAGCAGUGGGGAAUAUUGGACAAUGGGCGAAAGCCUGAUCCAGCCAUGCCGCGUGUGUGAAGAAGGUCUUCGGAUUGUAAAGCACUUUAAGUUGGGAGGAAGGGUUGUAGAUUAAUACUCUGCAAUUUUGACGUUACCGACAGAAUAAGCACCGGCUAACUCUGUGCCAGCAGCCGCGGUAAUACAGAGGGUGCAAGCGUUAAUCGGAAUUACUGGGCGUAAAGCGCGCGUAGGUGGUUUGUUAAGUUGGAUGUGAAAUCCCCGGGCUCAACCUGGGAACUGCAUCCAAAACUGGCAAGCUAGAGUAUGGUAGAGGGUGGUGGAAUUUCCUGUGUAGCGGUGAAAUNGCGUA
rnacentral:rRNA from 1 species